GACGGAGGGCGUGGGUGUUAUUCGUUUUGAUUGGGUGUAAAGGGUACGUAGGUGGUCUCUGGUAAAUUUGGCUAAAAGCGCGGAGUGUUCCUACGCGGUAAGCCUUUGAAGAAGGAGACUUGUGUUGUUGAUAGGUCGGGGCAAAUUCUCAAGUAGGGGUAAAAUCCUGCCAUAUGAGAAUGAACGCUAGCUGGCGAAGGCGCCUUUCCAGUAACAACAGACGCUAAUGUACGGAAGCUUAGGGAGCAAACGGG
rnacentral:rRNA from 1 species